rnacentral:rRNA from 1 species
CCUACGGGAGCAGCAGUGGGGAAUAUUGGACAAUGGGCGCAAGCCUGAUCCAGCCAUACCGCGUGGGUGAAGAAGGCCUUCGGGUUGUAAAGCCCUUUUGUUGGGAAAGAAAUCCAGCCGGCUAAUACCCGGUUGGGAUGACGGUACCCAAAGAAUAAGCACCGGCUAACUUCGUGCCAGCAGCCGCGGUAAUACGAAGGGUGCAAGCGUUACUCGGAAUUACUGGGCGUAAAGCGUGCGUAGGUGGUCGUUUAAGUCCGUUGUGAAAGCCCUGGGCUCAACCUGGGAACUGCAGUGGAUACUGGGCGACUAGAGUGUGGUAGAGGGUAGCGGAAUUCCUGGUGUAGCAGUGAAAUGCGUAGAGAUCAGGAGGAACAUCCAUGGCGAAGGCAGCUACCUGGACCAACACUGACACUGAGGCACGAAAGCGUGGGGAGCAAACAGGAUUAGAUACCCUGGUAGUCCACGCCCUAAACGAUGCGAACUGGAUGCUGGGUGCAAUUUGGCACGCAGUAAAGAAAAUGAAGCG